CAAUAGCGUAUAUUAAGGCUGUUGCGGUUAAAAAGCUCGUAGUUGGAUUUCUGUCAAGGACAACUGGUCCGCCCUUCGGGUGAGCACAUAGUUUGGUCUUGGCAUCUUGUUGGAAACUGUUGCUGCACUUGGUUGUGUGGCGCAGCGUCCAGCACUUUCACUUUGAGGAAAUUGGAGUGUUUCAAGCAGGCACAUGCCUUUGGACACAGUAGCAUGGAAUAAUUAGAUUGGGCUUUUGCUCCAACUUGUCGGUUUCUGGAGCUGAGGUGAGAAUUAAUGGGGAUUGUUGGGGGCAUCCGAAUUUAGCCGUCAGAGGUGAAAUUCUUGGAUCUGCUAAAGACGGACAACUGCGAAAGCGUCUGCCAAGGAUGUUUUCAUUGA
rnacentral:rRNA from 1 species